UACGGAGGGUGCAAGCGUUGUUCGGAAUCACUGGGCGUAAAGCGCGUGUAGGCGGCCUCCUCAGUCUGGUGUGAAAGCCCGGGGCUCACCCCCGGAAGUGCAUUGGAUACUGGGAGGCUGGAGUACCGGAGAGGAGGGUGGAAUUCCUGGUGUAGCGGUGAAAUGCGUAGAUAUCAGGAGGAACACCGGUGGCGAAGGCGGCCCUCUGGACGGAUACUGACGCUGAGACGCGACAGCGUGGGGAGCAAAC
rnacentral:rRNA from 1 species